AUCCGACUCGGUUUGGUGGCCGGCGCCUACUAGGAAUUCCUCGUUUGAGACAAACGAUUGCAGCCGUCUGUCCCCAGCUCGAAUGCCGUUGCAAGGUCGGGCUUCCCUGCUAGCGG